UGGCUUCGGUCUGCAGCAACGGGUGCGGC
rnacentral:sRNA from 1 species